rnacentral:rRNA from 1 species
UCCUCCUACGGGGCGCAGCAGUGAGGAAUAUUGGUCAAUGGGCGCGAGCCUGAACCAGCCAAGUCGCGUGAGGGAGGACGGCCCUACGGGUUGUAAACCUCUUUUGCCGGGGAGCAACGGGCGUCACGUGUGGCGCCACUGAGAGUACCCGGAGAAAAAGCAUCGGCUAACUCCGUGCCAGCAGCCGCGGUAAUACGGAGGAUGCGAGCGUUAUCCGGAUUUAUUGGGUUUAAAGGGUGCGUAGGCGGAACAUUAAGUCAGCGGUAAAAUCGAGGGGCUCAACCCCUUUAAGCCGUUGAAACUGG